rnacentral:rRNA from 1 species
GACGAACGCUGGCGGCGUGCUUAACACAUGCAAGUCGAACGGAGAAUUUUACUUCGGUGAAAUUCUUAGUGGCGAACGGGUGAGUAACGCGUAGACAACCUGCCUCUUAGAUGGGGACAACAUCGCGAAAGCGGUGCUAAUACCGAAUGAAGUGGAGCUUCCGCAUGGAAGCAUCACCAAAGUUGGCCUCUAUUUAUAAGCUACCACUGAGAGAUGGUUCUGCGUCUGAUUAGCUAGUUGGCGGGGUAAUGGCCCACCAAGGCGACGAUCAGUAGCCGGUCUGAGAGGAUGAACGGCCACAUUGGGACUGAGACACGGCCCAAACUCCUACGGGAGGCAGCAGUGGGGAAUCUUCCGCAAUGGACGAAAGUCUGACGGAGCAACGCCGCGUGAGUGAAGAAGGUUUUCGGAUCGUAAAGCUCUGUUGUUUGAGACGAAUGUGCAGACUUUGAAUAAGGGUUUGUAAUGACGGUAUUAAACGAGAAAGCCACGGCUAACUACGUGCCAGCCGCCGCCGUAA